UACGAAGGGGGCUAGCGUUGCUCGGAAUUACUGGGCGUAAAGCGCACGUAGGCGGUCUUUUUAAGUCGGGGGUGAAAUCCUGGAGCUCAACUCCAGAACUGCCUUUGAUACUGAGGAUCUUGAGUUCGGGAGGGGUGAGUGGAACUGCGAGUGUAGAGGUGAAAUUCGUAGAUAUUCGCAAGAACACCAGUGGCGAAGGCGGCUCACUGGCCCGAUACUGACGCUGAGGCACGAAAGCGUGGGGAGCAAACAGGG
rnacentral:rRNA from 1 species